GUUGCCUCAAACCCUUUGUAAAAUAAUCUUUAGAGCAUUAAAUCAAAGGAAAGGAAUUGCUCUUCAUAAAGCCGGUAAAUACCAUAGAAAGUUCUAGGAGCCCAGGGCAAGUAUUUCUUGAAAACAAUGUUCAUAUAUGUAUAUGUUCCCUUGGCUCUUCUUGGAAAGCACUCGUUCCUCUUUGUUGUUGUUUCCAAAGCCAAUAGAAUGGGCAAAAUAAUCGAAUUAACGCUACUUUUUUUGCAAAAUAGCUUAAGAAACGAUAUUGAGACUUUAUUGGCCUCAAUAUUAUAAAAGGAAUUUCCUGGAAGCUUCAAUCCCAGUGGCAUACGCACUAAUCACACUAAAUACAAAGAAGACCAUAAAUUUAUGUGGUCCCAGUAUAAACCAA